GUACUGCCUGGGCCCUGCAGGUGUCGCCAAAGCUUCAGCAGCAGCGUGUCUGUCAGCAGCAUGUACUGUACAGUGGGGCAGCUGGGCUUUAUUUUGCUUCCCAGACUGGAAACCACUGUAGUGCAGUUGGACUUGACGUCUAGCAACACAACAUCACAGACUUUACACACGCAGACUCGGCGACUUAGCGCGUUAUCCGCUGCAUUAACAGCUGUGAUGCCAGUGUGAGAGCGCCUCAGUACCUCUUGCUGAGCUCGGGACUGCAGCGACAGGACGGAAGACAUAAGAGGAGAAAGAGAGGAGGACGAAACAGAGAGCAAGCCAGCGAAAUCGGAGGAGUACGUGGCAGCAUGUUGAUUAGAGCUGAGUUUAAGAAACAAACCUGACUGUGGAGGAGACAGAGGCAGACGUAUAGAGCGAGAGAUAGAUAGGUCCUCAGCUCAAAGGCAGGAAAGAGGCUGAGACACUCACUUGAAGCCAGACAGGUUGACAAGUUGAGAGACCUGCCAAGAAUUCAGACUACUGGCCAUGGCUGUGGGCCUGCUGCUUGGAGGAUAGAGUUCAGAUCAAUCACACCCACACUGCAACUUCCUAAACCUUCAUCCAUCCUCCUCAGCCCUGAUCCUGACCCAAAAAGACCCCCGUAUCUCUUCCUUUUGUGCUCCUCUUCCUCUCACUUUUUACCCCGAGUCCUGUGAAUUCUGCAGUAGCAACACUGUCAAAAGACAGUCAAACAAUUCAAUCACACAGACUCAGCAGUGUAGUUUUCAACCAGCUAACUGGCUUAACAUUCAGUCAGAGAAGAGUGACGUCACAGCCUGUCGCUGAGCAGUGGAGAGACAGUCGCCUGCUGCAGAGUUUGACAGCGGCCUUUUAUUCCUUCACAUGGACUGUUGAUGAAGAAAGAUGGCAGCGAGACUGGCUGGCGCCCCUUCCUCUCGGCCCCCCUCCCUCCCCCCAGCGGCCGCGGCUCGGACCGGUUAAGGUUGGUCUAUUGGCAUCCAUCGCAGCAUCGGCAGCAGCUGGCAGAGCGCUGGAAGGAGCAGUAUGCAGGAAACUGACUUACCGGCCACAAAUGCCUUUAAAGAGUGCAAGUUCCACUGCACCAAUGGGAAUUGUUUGCGUCUGGGCUCGCUGAUCUGCAACCAGCUGAAUAACUGUGGGGACAACAGCGAUGAGGAGAACUGCCCUGUGGUCACCCAGCACCCUCCGCCGGGCAUCUUCAACUGAGCCACAGGACAUCAAGUGUUGAGUGCAAUUGAUUUCCUGUGGAAAGGUUGCUAAAGAGGUCAAAACUCCAGCAACACUUUAUUGGCCUAACAAUAAAGUUGUUCUAUGUACUACAAGUGUUGCUGGAGUUUUGACCUCUUUAGACUUUUGCCCUUCUCUGUGCACCUUGGAAGUAGGUGAGGUUGUGCCAGUAACCCCUACUCUGCUUGAAAGGUUGCUAGAGCAACUGGAUGUUAUUUUGAAACUGUGUGCAUGUAAUAUUCUUAAGUUACAAACAUAAUUCCUUAUCAGUAUUAUCACUGCAAUGCUUCUGCUUUUCUAUAAUGUGACUUCAGAAUAUAUUAGAAAUGUACAAAUAGGUGACAGAUUGAAGGAAAAACCUGAAGAAAUAAGUGGAGAAACAUAAGAAAUGCAGUGUUUCCAUACUCCUUCCAUGAAGGAGUUGCUGAAUAGUUUGAGUAUGAAAUCGAUGUGAUUCAUAUGUUACAGCCUUUACAGUCACCAGAUAUCAACUCAAUUGAACAUCUAUGACAGGUGAUGUGUUUUCCACUGUCAUCAUCAAAACAUCAAAUGAGGUCACCUCUACCCUGCUUUAUCUCUCCCAAAUUGUAUAAAGUUCUUAAAGUUUGCUUAUUUUUAUAUUUCUUAUUUUUUAUUUUAUUUACUCUUCUUUAUAAGUGUUAAAAAAAAAAAUCUGGACGGCAGAGGAAAAAUGAAACUUCCUUCGUUUUGACAUAAGCUUUGAUAUAUAACAGUAUAUAUAUACUGCUGUGCUAAAAUAAAGAAUAAAAAAAAAACACCAAAUGAGGAAAUAUCAUUUGUAAGAAUGCUGUUAAUCCCUCCAGUUAAGUUUCACACACUUGGAGAAUCUUUGACAAGAAGCUGUUUUAAACAUCUUAGGAAGACGUUUCAUGUUAUUUUUUCCUUUCAUAUGUCAGCUAUCUGUACGUGAAAUCUGCAGCCUCUGUACCAUGAAACCAAAAAUGUAUCUUGUGACCAAGUCUGACCAGACAACCCGUGUUAUUGUUCUCCUUUAUGCUUUUUUGGCCUCUCAGUUCUGUAAAUGAGAUAAAACACUGUAACCUGCUAAUUGCAGACUUGUCAAACCCAUCUCUGUGAUCUAAGAGCUCCAUACUAUCAUCCCAGCAUGCUACAGUCCAAGCCAUAUAUGUGGACAUGUUGACACAUGCAGCUGUCAUGCACAGUUGGUCAUGAAUUUGCUCAUGUAAGACGCUCAAGUGGAUCCUAUAGGACAUGUGCAGAGUCUUGCAGUUAUGGAGACAAGGAAAGUAUCAUUUGAGAUUUACUCUGGCCACUUUAAACUUCGGUUUAACUAACUUUAGAUAGUUGUUUUUUUAAGCAUAGGGGAUAAUAAUGAUUUCACAUCACAACAUCAACAAACAAAAACAAGAUUUUUAUCGACUCAACCUGUCCAGCAUAACUGCUGCACGUUUUUGCCAACAAGCUGGGUGGUGAAACACCAAGAUAGUAGCGUACUAUCAAGCCUAUUAAAGCAGGCUUACUUCAACAUCUGCCAUUCUCCAAAUAGCAGGGAAGACACAUUUAGAGGUCUAAGUGAUCUCUGAAAGAGUAAUGGCUGUCGAAAGCACCGUUUAUCUCACAUAGAACCUUUGAGGAAGAAUCGGUGUUUUCAAGAGUGUGUUCCAUUACAGAUCAAGAGCUGAACACUACAUGCUGCCAUCU